UCUUGACUCUUGAGGAUUCUUCAAGUGGUUCAAUGAGUAUACUCUGACAGCUUGCUGGUGUUUAAUGUUGGGGUGACUAGCGGAUCAAGUGAGGCUGGUUUUUCUUCCUGCUUCAAGUUUGGAAAGGAACAAGAGAUUGCUUAGUUCCUUUGAACAAUACUUUGCUUGAAUUUGGUUUGCAAGCGGUGCAUUGUCUUUUGUAAUCUUCUUGUCUUUGUCUCGGAAGAUCCUCCAAGAUUAUUCAAAUGGCUCAAGAACUGUUUGCUGUAUGGAGUAUGGACACCAUUGCAAUGUAAAGAGGGAAAUAUUUUCUUCCAUUAUAGAUUAUUAACUGGUGUAAUAUUGCCACGGGAUCAUAUAUUGCAACAAAUGAGGAACUCGCAGUUCUAGCAAUGGUUGGAAAAGAAAUUGCACCGCAACAGCAUGACUUACUGCCUUCUGCGUAUCUCUUCCUUUCCGAUAUGUGAAGGCUAAAUUUCGUUUUUUCAAUAUAAGGAGCUCCAUAUGUGUCUGCAACAUGCUACAUUUGCACCCAGUGACAAUUCCAUUUGUGGUUUGUGAUACAAGUGGAUUGUAUCAAUACUAAGUCUGAGGAUGCAUAUGCCGUUGAUGGAUCUAUGACAGAUGGUAUGGAGUAUAUCUUCAACUUAGCAGACAGUUGAGAUGU